AUUGAACGCUGGCGGCAUGCUUUACACAUGCAAGUCGAACGGCAGCGCGGGCUUCGGCCUGGCGGCGAGUGGCGAACGGGUGAGUAAUACAUCGGAACGUGCCCAGUAGUGGGGGAUAGCUCGGCGAAAGCCGGAUUAAUACCGCAUACGACCUGAGGUUGAAAGCGGGGGAUCUUCGGACCUCGCGCUAUUUGAGCGGCCGAUGGCAGAUUAGCUAGUUGGUGGGGUAAAGGCCUACCGAGGCGACGAUCUGUAGCUGGUCUGAGAGGACGACCAGCCACACUGGGACUGAGACACGGCCCAGACUCCUACGGGAGGCAGCAGUGGGGAAUUUUGGACAAUGGGCGAAAGCCUGAUCCAGCAAUGCCGCGUGUGUGAUGAAGGCCUUCGGGUUGUAAAGCACUUUUGGCGGGAACGAAAAGGACUGUGCCAAUACCACGGUUCGAUGACGGUACCCGCAGGAUAAGCACCGGCUAACUACGUG
rnacentral:rRNA from 1 species